rnacentral:rRNA from 1 species
UACGGAGGGUGCAAACGUUGCUCGGAAUCAUUGGGCGUAAAGCGCACGUAGGCGGCCUGAUAAGUCGGGUGUGAAAGCCCUGGGCUCAACCCAGGAAGUGCACUCGAAACUGUCAGGCUUGAAUAUGGAAGAGGGUCGCGGAAUUCCCGGUGUAGUGGUGAAAUGCGUAGAUAUCGGGAGGAACACCAGUGGCGAAGGCGGCUACCUGGCCCAUUCUUGACGCUGAGGCGCGAAAGCUAGGGGAGCAAACGGG